CACCUUUUGACAUGUCUGGACCGCUGGAGAGAUCCAGCUUUCCCUUCGGGGACCAGAACACAGGUGCUGCGUGGCUGUCGUCAGCUCGUGUCGUGAGAUGUUGGGUUAAGUCCCGCAAUGAGCGCAACCCUCGCCAUUAGUUGCCAUCAUUAAGUUGGGCACUCUAGUGGGACUGCCGGAGCUAAUCCGGAGGAAGGCGGGGAUGACGUCAAGUCCUCAUGGCCCUUACGGGGUGGGCUACACACGUGCUACAAUGGCGACUACAGAGGGUUGCAAACCUGCGAAGGGGAGCUAAUCCCUAAAAGUCGUCUCAGUUAGGAUUGCACUCUGCAACUCGAGUGCAUGAAGUCGGAAUCGCUAGUAAUCGCGGAUCAGCAUGCCGCGGUGAAUACGUUCCC
rnacentral:rRNA from 1 species